rnacentral:rRNA from 1 species
CUACGUGCCAGCAGCCGCGGUAAUACGUAGGGCGCGAGCGUUGUCCGGAAUUAUUGGGCGUAAAGAGCUUGUAGGCGGUUGGUCGCGUCUGCUGUGAAAGGCCGGGGCUUAACUCCGUGUAUUGCAGUGGGUACGGGCAGACUAGAGUGCAGUAGGGGAGACUGGAAUUCCUGGUGUAGCGGUGGAAUGCGCAGAUAUCAGGAGGAACACCGAUGGCGAAGGCAGGUCUCUGGGCUGUAACUGACGCUGAGAAGCGAAAGCAUGGGGAGCGAACAGGAUUAGAUACCCUGGUAGUCCAUGCCGUAAACGUUGGGCACUAGGUGUGGGGGACAUUCCACGUUUUCCGCGCCGUAGCUAACGCAUUAAGUGCCCCGCCUGGGGAGUACGGCCGCAAGGCUAAAACUCAAAGAAAUUGACGGGGGCCCGCACAAGCGGCGGAGCAUGCGGAUUAAUUCGAUGCAACGCGAAGAACCUUACCAAGGCUUGACAU